rnacentral:piRNA from 1 species
UGCCCAGGGAGCAUGGAGCUUGGCCAG